AGUGUCUGUCCAUGCCAUGGGUCCUGUGUUUUUGUGGAUACAAGGGAAGUUUCCAUAUCUAGCAAACUCCAUUAAUGGAAGAGAUUUUCUCUUGUGAUGGUUGCUGUCAAUGAAACAAGAACCCUGAAGCUUGGUCCAAGAGAGACUUGCCUGGAGGGGCUUGGGAGCCCACAAAAAGAAAAGAUGUUUUCUUAAGAAUUUGGAUAAAGGUUUUCUCCUAC